AUGUCUGCUCAUGCAACUUCCGGUAAGCCUGUAUCUCGCAGGCCACAAGCAAAGCUCGUCAUGCCAGCGCUGAUGGCCCUUGAGCUCAUCGUGGCAACAGUCGCGGCUGUCCCACUAGCUUUGCCUGGCUGCCCGGAGGCCUGCGGCAGGGUCACCGUCCCCUACCCUUUCGGCUUCCGGCAAGGCUGCUUCCACGCGGGCUUCAACCUCACCUGCGACCACACGCCACCCUCCGAAGCUGCUCCUGGGCGAUGGCGUGGAGGUGGACGCCAUCUCCCUGGCGGACGGCACGGUACGUGUCCAGAGCAAGACCGUGAGCGCUACGUGGUCCGACCCUAUCAGAAACGACACACGGACGCCAUCUCUCAUAAACUCCAACGGCUCGUGGGUCGGCGGCCUUACGGGUACCGGUGGGCAGCAGCUCGCGGUGUCGUCGGAGCACAACGUAUUCGUGGUCAUCGGAUGCAACUUCAUCGGCUACCUCGUUGCCCCAGACCCUUUUCGCAGCGCUCCGGAGCACAUCAGUGCCUGUGCCGCGCUGUGCGAUAGGUCUCCGGGCACCGAACCUGAGGAGUACACCUCGUGUUCGGGCGUUGGCUGCUGCCGGACGAUGUUCAAGGGUGAUUUGGACAAUACAGAGGCCGUGUACCAGGUGAUGUUCAAGCAUUUGGUGCACGAUACGGAGGUCGUGUACCCAGCGUGGGACAUACCGUCGGAGUCGGUGGCCGCGUUCAUAGUCGAUCGAGAGUGGUUCAACGGGAAUGCGGGGGUGAUGCUUAAUAACACCUUCGGUUCUUAUGACCACCAUUGGGGAAGUCUAAGCCCCGUAGCCGUACCCACCGUAUUAAUUUGGUGGCUGGAACAAGACCGAGACCGUGAUAUAGUGUUCUACGACCCUAAUGUCUCUCAUUGGAGAUGCCUAAGUUUGAACAGCGUCGUUACCUACGUUAAUGGAUUUGCAAUAAGGUGCAGUUGCUUGGACGCAUACGAAGGCAAUCCUUACAUGCGUCAGGGAUGCCAAGAUAUCGACGAGUGCCUACAGCCAGGUGUUUAUCCCUGCCAUGGGACCUGCAUCAAUAUGCCAGGGACAUACCGAUGCUCAGCAAAGAAAAGAAUCAUCAACUUACCAGGUCUAAUUACCAUAAUAGCAAUUGCUGCUGGUUUUAGCCUACUGUUUUCAGUCCUAGGUGUUGCCCAAGUCACAAAAAAACUCAAGAAACAAAGAGCCAAGAAGUUCAGACAGAAGUUCUUUAAGAAAAACCAUGGAUUGCUUCUGCAACAGUUAAUCUCUUCGAACAAAGAUAUAGCCGAAAAGAUGAAAAUUUUCAGCUUAGAAGAGCUAGAGCAAGCAACCAACAAGUUUGACCAUAAUCGGAUCCUUGGCGGCGGUGGGCAUGGCACAGUCUAUAAGGGCAUCUUAUCUGAUCAACGUGUUGUGGCCAUCAAGAAGGCCAAAAUUGUAGUUCAAAGGGAAAUCGACCAGUUCAUAAAUGAGGUUGUCAUACUUUCACAGACAAACCAUAGGCAUGUGGUGAAGCUCUUUGGCUGCUGCCUCGAGACAGAAGUUCCUCUACUAGUCUAUGAGUUCAUAUCGAAUGGAACUCUAUCGUAUCAUCUCCAUGGCCAAAGUGAGAACCCUUUGUCAUGGAAAGAUAGAUUGAAAAUUGCAUUGGAAACUGCAAGGACUAUUGCAUAUCUGCACUCUGCUGCUUCCAUAUCUGUAUACCAUAGGGACAUCAAAUGCGCAAAUAUAUGCUUACUGAUACUUUAACAGCAAAAGUAUCAGAUUUUGGAGCUUCAAGGUCAAUUGCAAUAGAUGAGACAGGAAUACUUACAGCCGUCCAAGGAACUUAUGGUUACCUUGAUCCUGGAUACUACUAUACCACUCGACUCACGGAGAAGAGCGAUGUUUACAGCUUUGGUGUUAUCCUAGCAGAGCUACUGACGAGGGUGACACCAGUUUUUUCUUCUCAUUCGUCAGAAAGCACAAGCCUUGCAUCUCAUUUUGUGUCACUUAUAAGGGAUAAUCGAUUCUUAGAUAUUCUAGAUACACAAAUUGUUGAGGAGGGAGGGGCUGAAGAUGCUGAGGUGAUUGCAAGACUCACAGAAGGAUGCUUAAGUUUAAAAGGUGAAGAAAGGCCUACAAUGAGACAAGUGGAGACAACACUUGAAGAUGUGCAGAACUUAAAGGUCAAUCUCAGUUCUCAGAUCACAAGAGUGAACCAGAGUGCUAUAAAUGCUCAGUCAUACAAGGGAAGCAAAGGCAGUGAAGGAACUAGGCUGUACAGCUUGGAAAAAGAGUUCAUCCAUUCAUCUGAAAUUCCAAGAUGA
rnacentral:rRNA from 1 species